AUUUUUGUUCUCAGAAUUUGAAGAACUGAAUUUUGUUUACUCAGUUGUGUAGUUUUUAUAGUCAUCUCUUCUCCUUCUUCUACCAGAGUCGAUGAUUAUGGAAAAUUUUAAAGGGAAUGAUGUCUUCGGUGGGGGAUUGAGUUAGAAAUCUAUCUUCUUCAUUUUCAAACCAACUUCAAGCUCACAUUUAGGAAAAUCAAUGUAAGUUUCCAUAUUUUUAGAUGUAAUUCACAUGAAAUGGAUUUUAUUGUCAAAUAAUAAUUUUUAGUGGGUUUUUAUUGGUUGAGUUUGAAAAUCAGUUGCUUUUUUUGAACCAUGUGUAUUGGGUUUAUAUAUAUAUAUAUAUACACACACACACACUUGAUUUUUGUUUUCUGAAUUUGAGGAAUUGAAUUUAGUUUACUCAGUUGUGUAGUUUUUUAGCCAUAUUUCUCUUUCUUGUACCGAGGUUGAUGAUUGUGGAAAGGUUUAAGGGAACAACGUUUUCGGUGGGGGGUUGAAUUCGAAAUCUAUUUUCUUCAUUUUCAAACCAACUACAAGCUCACAUUUAGCAAAGUCAAUGUAAGUUUUUCAUAUUUUCAAAAGUAAUUCACAGGAAGUGGAUUUGAUUGUCGAAUAAUAAAUUUUAUUGGGGUUUUAUUGGUUAAGUUUGAAAAUUUGUUGCUUAUUCUGAACCAUGUGUAUUGGGUUUUUUGUUCUUUAAAUUUGAGGAAAUGAAUUUUGUUUACUGCCAUUAAUUGUUUUAAUAUUUAUACAUGUUUUAUAAUUUGCAAUACUAUGGAGAAUAUUUAAGUUGACGCCAACAAGAUGUCGAUUGCAAUAGUACAAGAUGUUUAUGAGAAGCUCGAUACAAAUUACAAAAAAGGCUUCGCGAGAGCUGCUUCAGAUCUCUUCUUGUUGGAGUUAUUGCCACUUUCACGAUGUUGAUAUAUAGUUUGGAUGUUGCCUAGCUACUAGCUAGUGCAUUUGCAACUGUAAUGAUUCUGGAUAUUGAAUAUAAUUUAAAUGUACUUAUUUUUG
rnacentral:lncRNA from 1 species